AUUGAACGCUCUCGGCAGGCCUAACACAUGCAAGUCGAAUGGUAACAGGAAACAGCUUGCUGUUUCGCUGACGAGUGGCGGACGGGUGAGUAAUGUCUGGGAAACUGCCUGAUGGAGGGGGAUAACUACUGGAAACGGUAGCUAAUACCGCAUAACGUCGCAAGACCAAAGAGGGGGACCUUCGGGCCUCUUGCCAUCAGAUGUGCCCAGAUGGGAUUAGCUAGUAGGUGGGGUAACGGCUCACCUAGGCGACGAUCCCUAGCUGGUCUGGGAGGAUGACCAGCCACACUGGAACUGAGACACGGUCCAGACUCCUACGGGAGGCAGCAGUGGGGAAUAUUGCACAAUGGGCGCAAGCCUGAUGCAGCCAUGCCGCGUGUAUGAAGAAGGCCUUCGGGUUGUAAAGUACUUUCAGCGGGGAGGAAGGGAGUAAAGUUAAUACCUUUGCUCAUUGACGUUACCCGCAGAAGAAGCACCGGCUAACUCCGUG
rnacentral:rRNA from 1 species